GGAGAUCCAGCCCCGCAGAUCGCGCAUCCCUGCCGCCGUUCGCCUUUAGGCAUCCUAAACUUGAGCGGCAGCUCGGUUUCAACCGAUCGACUGCUUGCUUCAAAUCAGACAGCAUUGCGACCCAGACACCGGAGUCCGCCGAGUGAAAGCACAACGCAGAGUAGGACAAGACCAAGAAAACAGCCACGCGAAGCAGCAACUCUAGGUUGGGAGUGCAGAAGCCAACAAACCUUCUUCGGUUGCGCUGGGCUUCCUUUUAUCCGGGUAGGAGCCACAUCCCUGGGGAAUAUGCAGCGCGCGUGGAUCCUGCUCACCUUGGGCUUGAUGGCCUGUGUGUCCUCAGAGACGGCAGAAAGAAGGCUUGCCAUCUUUCAUACCCAGGCCAAAAAUACAUCCCAGUAUCUCAAAGUCAUCUCCUUCUUUCAUGGAGUAGGAGCCAAUGAAAAGUCUCAGAAGAAAGCCUACAUCAUGAAGAAGAGCUUUGACUGAAAACAAGGCCAUCAUUUUUUAACUUUUUAGGUUGCCAUAGAGUUUUAUUUCUAGCCUGGAAUAAAAUUGACUGGAAUUUUGAA
rnacentral:lncRNA from 1 species